rnacentral:rRNA from 1 species
CGCAUCUGUGCAUGCAGCAUAUCAAUAAGCGGAGGAAAAGAAACUAACAAGGAUUCCCCUUAGUAACGGCGAGUGAAGCGGGAAGAGCUCAAAUUUGAAAUCUUCAAGGUUUUACCUUGACGAAUUGUAGUUUAAAGAAGUGUUUUCUGCUGAAGUUUUGGUAAAAGUUCUUUGGAAUAGGACAUCAUAGAGGGUGAGAAUCCCGUAUUUGACCAUUAUUUUCAGCUUUGUGAUACACUUUCAAAGAGUCGGAUUGUUUGGGAAUGCAGUCCAAAAUGGGUGGUAAAUUUCAUCUAAAGCUAAAUAUUGGCGAGAGACCGAUAGCGAACAAGUACCGUGAGGGAAAGAUGAAAAGAACUUUGAAAAGAGAGUUAAACAGUACGUGAAAUUGUCAAAAGGGAAGCGUUUGACACCAGUGUUGUUUUCUCGAAAAUCAAUUAAAAAUGAGUUUGAUUUUGUAUGUGUAUUGACCUUAACAGCUUGCACUGUACAUUUUUCGUGUCUUUUUUAAUGCACUUUUCGUUUAACAAGUCAACAUCAGUUUCUUUUGUUGUAAAAGGUCAUUGGAAGGUGGCUUUCUUUUCGGAGAAAGUGUUUAUAGCCUUUGGCCUCUGCAAUCGAAGAGACUGAGGUCUGCAGCGUAGACUCUUCGGGGUUAGAUACAUUUGUGCUAAGUUAUAGCAUUUUAUAGACAACUUGUUGACUAUAAUUAGUCUUGUAGCUUACUCGCUUAUGCUAUUUUACCUACGCUUAGGAUGUUGAUAGUCACAGCGUGUAC